AUUGAACGCUGGCGGCAGGCCUAACACAUGCAAGUCGAACGAGUAGCGGACGGGUGAGUAAUGUCUGGGAAACUGCCUGAUGGAGGGGGAUAACUACUGGAAACGGUAGCUAAUGCCGCAUACCAUCAGAUGUGCUCAGAUGGGAUUAGCCAGUUGGUGGGGUAACGGCGCACCAAGGGGACGAUCCCUAGCUGGUCUGCGAGGAUGACCAGCCACACUGGAACUGAGACACGGUCCAGACUCCUACGGGAGGCAGCAGUGGGGAAUAUUGCACAAUGGGCGCAAGCCUGAGGCAGCCAUGCCGCGUGUAUGAAGAAGGCCUUCGGGUUGUAAAGUACUUUCAGCGGGGAGGCGUUACCCGCAGAAGAAGCACCGGCUAACGCCGUGCCAGCAGCCGCGGUAAUAC
rnacentral:rRNA from 1 species